rnacentral:misc_RNA from 1 species
GAUGAAGAACGUAGUAAAAUGCGAUAAGUAGUGUGAAUUGCAGAAUUCAGUGAAUCAUCGAAUCUUUGAACGCACAUUGCGCCCGCCAGCACUCUGGCGGGCAUGCCUGUUCGAGCGUCAUUUCAACCAUCAAGCCCCCAGGGGCUUGUGCUGGGGCCCUGCGGCUGCCCGCAGGCCCUGAAAACCAGUGGCGGGCUCGCUAGUCACACCGAGCGCAGUAGCACAUCUCGCUCAGGGCGUGCGGCGGGCUCCUGCCGUGAAACCCCCCACUGUAACCCCAAAGGUUGACCUCGGAUCAGGUAGGAAUACCCGCUGAACUUAAGCAUAUCAAUAAGCGGAGGA